CCUACGGGGGGCAGCAGUGGGGAAUAUUGGGCAAUGGGCGCAAGCCUGACCCAGCAACGCCGCGUGAAGGAAGAAGGCUUUCGGGUUGUAAACUUCUUUUGUCAGGGAAGAGUAGAAGACGGUACCUGAGGAAUAAGCCACGGCUAACUACGUGCCAGCAGCCGCGGUAAUACGUAGGUGGCAAGCGUUAUCCGGAUUUACUGGGUGUAAAGGGCGUGUAGGCGGGACUGCAAGUCAGAUGUGAAAACCACGGGCUCAACCUGUGGCCUGCAUUUGAAACUGUAGUUCUUGAGUACUGGAGAGGCAGACGGAAUUCCUAGUGUAGCGGUGAAAUGCGUAGAUAUUAGGAGGAACACCAGUGGCGAAGGCGGUCUGCUGGACAGCAACUGACGCUGAGGCGCGAAAGCGUGGGGAGCAAACAGGAUUAGAUACCCGGGUAGUC
rnacentral:rRNA from 1 species